rnacentral:rRNA from 1 species
AGCGAACGCUGGCGGCAGGCCUAACACAUGCAAGUCGAACGGACCCUUCGGGGUUAGUGGCGGACGGGUGAGUAACACGUGGGAACGUGCCUUUAGGUUCGGAAUAGCUCCUGGAAACGGGUGGUAAUGCCGAAUGUGCCCUUCGGGGGAACGAUUUACCGCCUUUAGAGCGGCCCGCGUCUGAUUAGCUAGUUGGUGAGGUAACGGCUCACCAAGGCGACGAUCAGUAGCUGGUCUGAGAGGAUGACCAGCCACACUGGGACUGAGACACGGCCCAGACUCCUACGGGAGGCAGCAGUGGGGAAUCUUGCGCAAUGGGCGAAAGCCUGGCGCAGCCAUGCCGCGUGAAUGAUGAAGGUCUUAGGAUUGUAAAAUUCUUUCACCGGGGACGAUAAUGACGGUACCCGGAGAAGAAGCCCCGGCUAACUUCGUGCCAGCCGCCGCGGUAA